rnacentral:rRNA from 1 species
AUUGAACGCUGGCGGCAGGCCUAACACAUGCAAGUCGAACGAGUGGCGGACGGGUGAGUAAUGUCUGGGAAACUGCCUGAUGGAGGGGGAUAACUACUGGAAACGGUAGCUAAUACCGCAUACCAUCAGAUGUGCCCAGAUGGGUUUAGCUGGUGGGUGGGGUAACGGCUCACCAGGGCGACGAUCCCUAGCUGGUCUGAGAGGAGGACCGGCCACACGGGAACUGGGACACGGUCCAGACUCCUACGGGAGGCAGCAGUGGGGAAUAUUGGACAAUGGGGGAAAGCCUGAGGCAGACAUGCCGCGUGGAUGAAGAAGGCCUUCGGGUUGUAAGGUACUUUCAGCGGGGAGGCGGUACCCGCAGAAGAAGCACCGGCUAACUCCGUGCCAGCAGCCGCGGUAAUUC